rnacentral:rRNA from 1 species
CAGGUCUUGACAUCCUAGGAACGGCUAAGAGAUUAGCUGGUGCCUUUCGGGGAAUCUAGAGACAGGUGGUGCAUGGUUGUCGUCAGCUCGUGUCGUGAGAUGUUGGGUUAAGUCCCGCAACGAGCGCAACCCUUGUGAUUAGUUGCUACGCAAGAGCACUCUAAUCAGACUGCCGUUGACAAAACGGAGGAAGGUGGGGACGACGUCAAAUCAUCAUGCCCUUUAUGACCUGGGCUACACACGUACUACAAUGGUCGCUAACAGAGGGAAGCAAUACCGCGAGGUGGAGCAAAACCCCAAAAGCGAUCUCAGUUCGGAUUGUAGGCUGCAACCCGCCUACAUGAAGUUGGAAUUGCUAGUAAUCGCGGAUCAGAAUGCCGCG